rnacentral:misc_RNA from 1 species
UUUGUUCCUGGUGAAAUUUGUCGAAUCUUUCGGUCAGCUGGUGAAAAGUUUCUACACCAUUAUAUAACUAUGAGAACUCAGAGAGUAUCAGUUCUCCUUAAGAAGAGGUUUAAAGCUCCAAACUGGGUCAAGCACAAGGAGCCAAGAGAAGUUCAUAUGUUUGUUGACUUAUUUCUUCAGGAGUUGGAAACAAUAGGUUCUGAGGUGAAGCAGGUUUUAUCACAAGGAGUUCUUCGCAAGCNNNNCAAUGGCAGCACCACAUCCUCUCGCAGCAAUCCAUUACGAGAUGAUAGAAUGACUCGGAC